rnacentral:rRNA from 1 species
CACGUAGGGCGCGAGCGUUGUCCGGAAUUAUUGGGCGUAAAGAGCUCGUAGGCGGCCUGUUGCGUCCGCUGUGAAAGCCCGGGGCUUAACCCCGGGUCGGCAGUGGAUACGGGCAGGCUAGAGGUAGGUAGGGGAGAAUGGAAUUCCCGGUGUAGCGGUGGAAUGCGCAGAUAUCAGGAGGAACACCGAUGGCGAAGGCAGGUCUCUGGGCCAUUACUGACACUGAGAAGCGAAAGCAUGGGGAGCGAACAGG